UGGUGCUGCAAUUUCCAGGAUUAAUCCAU
rnacentral:piRNA from 1 species